AGGUACCUCUCUACCUGGGCACCCCUGCUUAACAGCCUCGCACUUGGAGGGGCUCCCAGAUUUUGGUGCUUUUCGCCGGUGGAACAAUGCAGAGCGGGGAGGAAGGACAGAUACCGUAACACGGGCAGCCGAUCCUCCGGCUGCUUAAGGGAAAUCCAGUUUCCAGCCAAGGCAAUACACGCAGAGUCAUUAAUCUAGGUCUAGCGCCAACAGGGAUGGCUUCGCAUUAGCGCCGGGGCCUCUUUGUAGUGCACACAAUCAGCCGUAUUCAAACGGGGCGCGAUAACACUGCAGAAGCUGAGCUGCUGGGAACUGGGGGGGUUGCGGGGUGGGAAGAGGAUUUGCGGGCAGAAUCACCUCGCAUUAAUGGAGCUGCUCAGUAUUCAGCCCAGCCGCUCGCGGAUAAUGUCUUUUGCGAGCUAACGGCAAUAAAUUAAUUAAAUUAAUCUACGAUGCCAUACUCGUCCCCACCCAGUACGAAAUUUCAAGGAUGAUCAGGGCUUGGCUUUAUCCUCUGUCGCCUGCUUAAAAAAAAAAAAAAAAGAUCCUGAGCUCCCUUGCUCUGAGUUUCUGAGGCACUGAAUUGCAAAGUACCACCUGCCUCACUAAAACUAAUCACCAGCCUGGUGGUUUAGAUCACAUCAGUUUUACAUGUAAUUAAGACUGUCCAGGAGGGCAUGCAGCUGCUUACAUGGUCGUUCCCUCUUAGACGGCAGUAUGCCUCCUGCUCAGAUAGGUGCAAUUAAACAAGCCUGUUCACAGUCAUUAAGCAUUAAUGCACCUCAUUAGCAUAAGAACUGGAAGACGCUUUGAUGCGGGGAACCCCCGCAGGAACGAGACAGGAGAGAGGAAAGACGAGGAGAGGGAUCGGCGCCCCAAUCCCCUAGCUGCUCUCGGUUCCGGCCUAGCCUGGCACUUCAGUGUGAUGGGGCAGCGAAGAGCCACCUUCUACCGCAAUCAAUCAACCAAAAUAAGCACAUCCCAAGUUUUGUAAAGCCCAUAAUUCAUAAAAUCUGGGAUAUGUACAACACAUUUUACCGAUGGACCGCACCACGAGGAAGAUUUGCCUCCUACAUGUAAUCUACUUGCUGCAGGUAAGUCAUUUCCCUCUCUGCCCCUCCUACCCCACACUUUACCAACACUCCACCCUCACUUGUUCACAACUACCUUUCUGCCCUCUCCACCCCUAAAGCUCCCCUUGAGCUGAACUAUGCUGUGUGUUAAGGCUUUUUGGUUCCUUGGUUUAGAGGAGAGAUCAUUUCAGGGUUUUUUUUCCUUUCUUUCUUUACUUUUUUUUAAUGG
rnacentral:lncRNA from 1 species